rnacentral:rRNA from 1 species
GGGUUCAUACGUUGGUCGGGCUAUUUGGUCUGUACUUAUGUAAUGGAUUCCUACAUUCCGAAUAACCGGCAUGUCAUUAAUUUGGUGCGCCGGGGAAGCAGGACUGUUACCUUGAAAAAAUUAGAGUGUUUAAAGCAAGCUAACGCUUGAAUACAUUAGCAUGGAAUAAUGAAAUAGGAUGUUCGAUCCUAUUUUGUUGGUUUCUAGGAUUGACGUA